rnacentral:rRNA from 1 species
AGCUCCAAUAGCGUAUAUUAAAGUUGUUGCAGUUAAAAAGCUCGUAGUUGAAAUUUUGGGAUGCUGAACCAAGUCAAACACUGUCUCGGUUCAGCUUUCCAUAUUCACAAAGAUGUCCUUGCCCAUUAACUUGUGCUUGGACGGAGUUGUGUCAUUUACUGUGAACAAAUUAGGGUGUUUAAAGCAGGCCUUUGUUUGGAUACAUUAGCAUGGAAUAAUAAGAUAUAACUUUGGUUGUAUUUUGUUGGUGACUACCAGAGUAAUGAUUGACAGAAACUGUUGUGGGUAUUCGUAUGAGCAUGUCAGAGGUGAAAUUCUUGGAUUUUGAUCAGACGAACUACUGCGAAAGCAUUUACCAAGGAUGUUUUCA